CCACCCUCGACAUUGUCGCCUUUUCCUGAUCCAAAGUGGGACCUUCUUUUCCCCUGAGUGGUCCUGCCUAGGGGUGCCGCUGCCGGGCCCCCUCUGGUCUUCCUGCUGGAGACUGGGGCCUUUCGGGAGUCAGCAGGCGCCCGGGCCAACCGCAGCCAGCGAGGGGUGAGCAAUACUUCACUGGCGAGUCAUCAGGGUGAGGCUGGCCGUGUGUGAUGCAGUCACUGGCUGGGUGACAGACCCCCGGACCGCUGUGGACUCAGGUGUGCUGGAGGUGGAGGUGUUGGGCGAGGUGCCUGCAGCUGGCGGCAGUUCCCUCUGCCAACACUUCUUUGUCACCUGCUUCGAGGCCAAUAACUCUGAAGAAGGUGGCCCAGGGGUAGGUGGAGGGGCUGCCGCAGGGUGUGGACCGGGGGGCACUGGGUGUCUGAGUGCAAGGCCAAGCAGUCCUAUGUGCGGGCAUUGACCGCUGAUGCCCAGGGCUGUGUGGACUGGUGAUGGAUUCAAAUUGGCACUGCCUGUGUCUGCACACUCCUCAGCCGGACUGGCCGGGCCUGA
rnacentral:lncRNA from 1 species